GACGAACGCUGGCGGCGCGCCUAACACAUGCAAGUCGAGCGAUAACCAGUCCUCGGACUGGGACGAGCGGCGAACGGGUGAGUAACACGUGGGUAAUCUACCCUCGGUUUCGGGAUAGCCCGGGGAAACCCGGAUUAAUACCGAAUGGCCUCUCAGGCUCUCGGGCUUGAGAGAAAAGGUAGCUUCGGCCUCUGACCGAGGAUGAGCCCGCGGCCGAUUUAGCUAGUU
rnacentral:rRNA from 1 species